UACGUAGGGACCAAGCGUUGUUCGGAUUUACUGGGCGUAAAGAGCUCGUAGGCGGUUUGUCGCGUCUGCCGUGAAAGUCCGGGGCUCAACUCCGGAUCUGCGGUGGGUACGGGCAGACUAGAGUGAUGUAGGGGAGACUGGAAUUCCUGGUGUAGCGGUGAAAUGCGCAGAUAUCGGGAGGAACACCGGUGGCGAAGGCGGGUCUCUGGGCCGUAACUGACGCUGAGGAGCGAAAGCGUGGGGAGCGAACAGG
rnacentral:rRNA from 1 species